GAAGUACCCUGGGCUACAUGCAUCCUGAAUAGGCAAUAGGAGUUUUGACCUGCUCCUGCUCUUAAGUUAAAGAGGUUGUAAUACUCCCAGUACUCAUGGUUAGCUGUUGGCAUCUGGCUCUGCGGGAAGGUAGAGAUGGUGAUAAUGAAGUUGUGGAGAUGAUCUCCAUGAUGAUAGAACAAAAAGGGCAAGCAGAUCUUGCAACACAGUUGACCAUGAAGACAGAGAAGCAAUCUCCAAGCAGCGAAGAUCUGGGUCUUCAGCCAUCCCUGAAUUCACCUACCUCCAGCACAUGAGAGAAUGGUCAAAAGCAGGGACCAGUAGUUUAAAUAUACAGACAAUGGCCAGGCCAAAUAUAAAAACAGAAUUCUGAUUCACAUUCUGCAGCACUCAGUCCAGGAAGGCAAACAAUGCCUAUGACAAUCAACACAAGAGGCCAGGACUUGAUUAAUGACUGACAGCUUCACUCAUUUUCCUUUGGGAUCAACUGAGACCCAGCUGGGAAAGUCAAAUAUGCACCCCUACUCAAUCACAUACAAUGCUGUACUUCCAGUUAGCCCAUCUACAGUUUCCCCAGGCCAACACCUCUUCCUUCAGGCAUACCUUUUUUCCAUUUUAUAUAAACUUUUCCCUCUCCUCUGCCUGCUUUUGAGACUCUGCCAACACAAAUGAUGGUAGCUAACUCCCUUGCUAUAGCAACCUCUUAAUAAAAAGCCUUCACUUGUUCCCAUUUGGGUGAUCUUUAUUUCCCCACAAGAUAAUCCAUGAGUUGAUAUUUUUUGAAGUUGUGGGACUAGUAUUAUUGAUCAUUCAUUUAUGCUAUCCUCUCUACCUUUGUAUAUGUUUGAAAUUUCCCACAAUAAAAAAUU